GAUGAACGCUGACAGAAUGCUUAACACAUGCAAGUCUUUGGCGAAGCUGUGCUUGCACAGCCUAGCCAAGGCGGACGGGUGAGUAACGCGUAAGGAACUUGCCCUGCAGUCAGGGAUAACAGACGGAAACGACUGAUAAGACCUGGUGAAGUCAGGCGGACUCAUGUCCAGCCUGAUGAAAAGAGAUGCUGCAGGAGAGCCUUGCGUCCUAUUAGCUUGUUGGUGGGGUAACGGCCCACCAAGGCGAUGAUAGGUAGCCGGCCUGAGAGGGUGGACGGCCACAAGGGGACUGAGAUACGGCCCUUACUCCUACGGGAGGCAGCAGUGGGGAAUAUUGGACAAUGGGGGCAACCCUGAUCCAGCAAUUCUGUGUGCACGAUGAAGGUUUUCGGAUUGUAAAGUGCUUUCAGCAGGGAAGAAAAAAUGACGGUACCUGCAGAAGAAGCGACGGCUAAAUACGUG
rnacentral:rRNA from 1 species